UUGAUCCUGGCUCAGAAUCAACGCUGGCGGCGUGCCUAACACAUGCAAGUCGAACGCGAAAGCCCCGCAAGGGGUAAGUAGAGUGGCAAACGGGUGAGUUACACGUGGGUGACCUGCCUUCGAGUGGGGGAUAACGUCCCGAAAGGGACUCUAAUACCGCAUGACAUCCUGCUUUUGGAAAAGCGGAGAUCAAAGCUGGUGAUCGUAAGACCUGGCGCUUGAAGAGGGGCCCGCGCCUGAUUAGCUAGUUGGUGGGGUAACGGCCUACCAAGGCGACGAUCAGUAUCCGGCCUGAGAGGUCGGACGGACACACUGGGACUGAGACACGGCCCAGACUCCUACGGGAGGCUGCAGUGGGGAAUUGUUCGCAAUGGGCGCAAGCCUGACGACGCAACGCCGUGUGGAGGACGAAGAUCUUCGGGUCGUAAACUCCUGUCGAGUGGGAAGAAUGCUUCGGGGGCGAAUAUCCUCCGGAAUUGACGGUACCACUAAAGGAAGCUCCGGCUAACUCCGUGCCAGCAGCCGCGGUAAUAAGGU
rnacentral:rRNA from 1 species